rnacentral:misc_RNA from 1 species
CAAACUUUAAUUUAAAAAUAUUUUUGUCUUUAACAAUAAUUACAUAAUAUUCCAUAGAUAGGAAAGCUAGUUUGUUUUAACAUAAAUCCAAUAAUUGAAUAAAAAUAAAUGACCAUAGAAAUUGAGAAAAAAAUAGUGAUAAUUAAAUUAAAAUUUACUACCACGAUAAUUAUGAAAUUUUGAAUUUAAGUAUGAAAUUCGGAAACACAAUCUCUGUUUUCUUCUUUGUUUUCUCUUCCACCAUCGCCUCGAAUUUCGUUGGGUCUACUUUCCCGGUGACCUUCAGUCUGUUUUCUUCCCAAUUUGUCUUCACGGCUUCCAC